rnacentral:tRNA from 1 species
UCGGGUAUGGUGUAGUGGUUAACAUUACUGUUUCUCAAACAUUAUUUGAUGUUUCUCACACAGUAGCCCCUGGUUCGAUUCCUGGUACCCGAA